rnacentral:rRNA from 1 species
CAGCAGCCACGGUAAUACGUAGGUGGCAAGCGUUGUCCGGAACUAUUGGGCGUAAAGGGCUCGCAGGCGGUUUCUUAAGUCUGAUGUGAAAGCCCCCGGCUCAACCGGGGAGGGUCAUUGGAAACUGGGAAACUUGAGUGCAGAAGAGGAGAGUGGAAUUCCACGUGUAGCGGUGAAAUGCGUAGAGAUGUGGAGGAACACCAGUGGCGAAGGCGACUCUCUGGUCUGUAACUGACGCUGAGGAGCGAAAGCGUGGGGAGCGAACAGGAUUAGAGACCCCCGUAGUCCCUGUCUCUUAUCA